CCCACCAAGCAGCUCUUCUGCUGGCAGGGGCUGCCCUGGGGCUUCUCUCAAAACUCUUCUCUGUUACCUGCCCAUUUGGCUUUGUUGCCUGAACCAAACUACCUUACACAAAGGAAAGGAUAUUGUAGGCAGAACAGUCCCCAAAAUGUAUCCACAUCUUAAUUCCUGGAAUCUGUGAAUAUGUUAGGUUACAUGGCAAAAGAUUGGGAUGUUAUCCAGUGUUAUCUGAAUGGGACCAAUGGGCCCUUAAGAAGAGAACUUUCUGUGGCUGGCGUCAGAGAGACGUGGCAGGAGGAGAUGUUGGAGAGAUUCCAAGCAUAAGAAGGACUCGAUGUGCCAUUUCUGGUUUGAAGAUGGAGGGGGAGACAUGACAAGACAUGCAGGUGGACUUAACUAGCUGAGAGUGGCUCCCGGCUGGCAGUGAGCAAGAAACGGGACCUCAGUCCUCUAGCUGUAAGGAACUGAAAUCUGCCAACAAGAAGCAGAUUCUCCCCCAGAGCCUCCAGGGAUUCUAUCUGCCACAGAUGUGUCUGGACAGUGACAGAUGGGAAAGGUCCUUCUUCAGCAACAGAAUCUGUGCUGACAGCCUUGGGAGACCAAAAGUCUGAAAAAGAGAGGCACUGGCUUUCCCAGCCUCCUUUGCAGCUCAUUCUGUUCUGACCUACUUAGAAAAAUAGAAAAGCUUGGAAGGGGAUGCUCUCAUUAACCUGGUUAUCCCCUGCUUCUGUCCCUCGUCAUUGUGCUGUGAGUGUGUGAGGCCUGGUGCUGUGGAAGACGCCUUGCAGCUAUAAGGAAAAGGUUGGGAACUUCACGGACAGGUUGACCCAGUGCCCUGCAUGAGCCAACUCUGGAACAACGUACGUGUAGCUUCUCACUGUGUGAUAAUUAAAUGCCUUCAUUAUUUCAAGAAAUUCAGUUCAGCAGAUGUUUAUUGAGCACCUAUGUUGUGUUAGACACUGAUAAAGUUACUUUAAAGACAUCACUGAACAAAAAUGCUUGCCUUCAUGGAGCUGCAUUCUACACACCCUUAGUCAGAUACUUUUUUACCUGCUGUUUAAAGCAUUUCCAACUGGCCAUGGUAUAACCUAACCUUUUGUGGGUUGGGUGCACUGGUGUGCUGGAGCUGGCUCCUACUAGCUCCCAAGAGCUGACUGUUGGAUUUUCAGGAAUUUUGAGAAACAGUUGUUAAGCACAGCCAUUAUUAAAAAUUAAGUCAUAUAAACUUAAAAUUGAAUAAAUUAUGUUUGAAACAAAGUAAUACAGUCUCAAAACUCAUCAUUUCCUAAUUAUUUUACUAUCAUCUAUCUUUUUGAGUUUAUUUAUGUUUAUUGUAUUUAUAUGAUGCAAAUAGUAUAUAAUGGUGUGCUAUUGUGUGUAUCUUCUCAAGUCCAAGUUCAGUGAUGUCACCUGGUAGUUUGAAAUCUGCCAUGGUGAGAAUAUUUAUGCCAUGGAAGUUGACAACCACUACAAAUCAGGGCUUGAUUUAUUGCUCUGAUGACCAUCUAAAGUUAAGACUCAGAUGUUAAGAAUUCAGGUUAAACUUAAAUAUAUCAUGUCUGUAGGUACUACAUUGUGAAUUGCAUACAAAUUUCAGGAAAUAGUUUUCUAGUAUUUGAAAAUUGUUAUCUGAUUCAGCAAAGAAUUUACUCAUAUCAUUGAUGAUCAGGUUAAGUCCCAACAUAUAACUUCAUUUUUACCUUUAUGUUACUCUUUAAUGUAAAUUAAAAUAUCUACCAAUAUUCAUGCCAAAAUUACACUUGUUCUUUACUUGCAAUCACAGGUAGGCUACAGAUACAGAGUUUGGCAAAAGUCAAUGCAAGUAUUCUGUAGGAAUCAAUGCCAUAUGGAAUUUACCAGGAACAGUAGUGUAAACUUUAUUGUCAUUUGUAAAUUGUGUGAUACACAGCCUUUAUAUCAGUAAAAUUGAUAAUAGACUUAUAUACAUAUGGAUUUGCAUGAAUUUUUGAGAGCUCAUUGCUGAACAUUUAUCAUGACAUCACUAUUGGGUGAAAUCAAGGGGGAAGUAGAGUAAGAAAAGGAGUAAAGCAAAGGAGAUUGCCUUAUGCCCUGCCCAAACCAUUUUGUAAGAUUGCCCCAGGGUCUGGAUUUCCUGUUCUUAGGAGCCCACACAUGAAGUGAGGCUUGAAUCUAGCACUGUGAGCAACCUCAUCAGAGAAGUUAAUCUAACUCCGCUGGUUGCUGAACUCACCCAAAUAGUCUACCACCAGAACUAUAGAAACUAUGAGCAAGACUAUUUUGAUAUAGUGUGUGUGACUUAAAUCAUAAGACUGUCCACAGAGUACAUGGUCCCAAUCUUUCAGAGUUGAAACAUGCCUUCAAGAAGUCAUUCUGGUGUUCUGAUAAGGGUGUAAUGGGUCUUCAUAACAUACGCAAUGGUAUAUUAUAGCGGGCUCUGCCUCACAGAGGAAUUAGUAUGUUGACAGUGGAAAGUAAAACACAAAAUACACACACACACACACACACACACACACUUAGGUGUUCUGGGACAUCCUUGGCCAGCUUCCUUUUAUGAACCAACAACCUUACUGACAUGUUCUAUAUAUAUGAUUAUUUUUUUCCCUUGGGGAAAAGAAGAUGAAGUUAAUAUAUUGAUUAUUAAACACGUUACCAUGAGGUUCUGGAUGCCCUUCCUCAUAAGAUAAAUAUCUCAACAAGGGAAGGAUGUUUAAUAUUUGAAAAUCAGGAAGAGUUGUUAUAGAUUUUAUUCCUCAG